UCAUGGCUCACACUGAUCCAAAAUGGCGAAAUACACAUGUACACACGUGAAAUUAAUUUAUUGUAAAAUUAACGAUUCAAACAGUAAACGAUUUGUUCUAAAACAAUAAUGUGAUAUAAAAUAUGUGAGUUAGUUUGGUUUAUAAAACAAAGAUGAAGUUAUCCACGGCAUCUCUGGUGCUGAGACUCUGUUGUCAAUGUCAAGCCCAGUUCCUUGGGAGAGUGACGAAUAAAUGAGACCAUCUUCACACGAUGACCUGCUACUUCAGUUUGACAAUUUGCCCAGAAUGUGGUGAUGAACGCAGAUGUGUGGACGGGUGCUUCAGCUGGCAGUGCUGUAGCAGGGCUGCGAGCCAAGGAGGACGAUGUUAACUUCAGCUUGUACGAGCACUGUGGAAUCCAUGAGGAGAUGCUGAAGGUAGUUCUGGAUGUGGGCUGUGGAGCAGGAAUUCUCUCAAUGUUUGCUGCCAAAGCUGGGGCCAAAAAGGUCAUUGGAGUUGACCAGUCUUGAGAUCAUCUAUCAAGCCAUGGACAUCAUAAGAUCAAAUAAUCUUGAUGGCACAAUUGCUUUAAUCAAAGGAAGGAUUGAAGAAGUGGACCUCCCAGCUGAAAAAGUGGACAUCAUUAUUUCAGAGUGGAUGGUCCUUGGAUGCCUUUUCACGGUCUCAAAAGAAUCCGGAACUUCCUGUCCAGGCAAUCGUUGGAUGUUUUGACAUAUUCUUGAACAAGAACUGCAGCAACAAGGUCAUGUUCUCAACAGGUCCCCAAGCACUAAAACUCAUCGGAAGCAAACUGUGUUUUUCCUGGAACACCCCUUUCCAGUGAAAUCAGGUUUGUACAACCAGAAUGAAAUGGAGAGAAGAGUUCAUUUUAAAUCCAAAAUGCAAUUGUGAUGGACUGUAAAACAUCAUUGCACGUACAAGCGUUUUGCACAUGUCUAGAAAGUGCAUUGUGCUCCUCUUCUCAAACUGCUGAUUUUAAGAUGUGUUCUUUUUACUAAUGUCAGGAUACAGAACUGGAGCUACUGUAGAUUGGGCUAUGGAACAAGAACCUUGACAUUUUCACCCCAGUUCAGGAUGGAAAUAAGACUCCUGCUGCAAAGCAGUUUGAUCCAUUCCUGGUUUUAUUAGGAGUUUAAUAAGCCACACCUGAGCUUGUUGCCUGUACACUGGGGCUAAUCGAUUACAUAUUAAAAACUGGAAUGGGUGAAACUGCUGUGCAAUUCCCAUCCCUACAGUAUUAAAACAUUUGAUCAUUUACUGUGUGCUACUCAAAAGAAUAACAUUGAAAUGAAUAUAGGGAUUCAGUGUGUGAAUAUUUUAACCAAUCUACACAUUUCUAAGUUUGGGUUAAUGGCCUUUUCACCACAAACUGCAGAGUCCAUCAACAAACAAAUUGACUGCAGUGCACGAUUCCACUACCUCAGAUUGUAUUCACUUUAUCAUAAUGAAAAUCUUAAACCUAUGGGUUAAAAAAAGAUGCUGAUUUAAUAAUAAAGUGAUCAAUAAAGUACAUUUUGCUUUUGUCCAGUCUUCAUCAGUUACACAGGUGAAAGUGAUUUCUCAUUUCUUUAAAUGAGAACAGAAACCUUUCUGAUCACUCAUUUGUUUUGCUAGAUUAAGAUAGAAGAUGGUUCUUUGAUGUAUGUGCAAAACAUAUGUAAGAAAAAAUAUUUAUUUUUCGUUGAAGAACAUCAAAAACUUUUCAGUAGCCUCAGCCAUUGUCAGGGGCUGACAGUUACUAAAAGAAACCGCUAUUUUUUGCUGUUUUAUUGUGAAUACAUGUCUUGUUUAUAACUUGUUCCUGUAUUUGUUUCUGGAAAUGCUUGAUGACCUAUUUUAGGUUUUAGUCUCUCCAACAGCCAAAGCCGCUUAAAAUGCAUUGCCAGUGCAACACGUCUCAAACACUAUGGCUAUUAACCCAAGUUAAUUCUUGCUGUCUGUUCCUUGUGCAAUAUAUUCAAUUAUAUUAUCAAAUACCAAAUACAGUAAAACCUGUCAUAAUGACAACUUCUUUACAGGAACCACUCCCUAUACAUAUGCUUUUAGAUAUAAUCUGGAGAACCCAAGGUUAAUUUUAGCACAAAAAACAAUCCUUUGGCACUACCAAAGAUGUGUUGAAUGAAUGCUGUCAGGGUAGCAGUUCACGUAGAGUUUGUAAUUCCCCAGCAUAUGGUAAUGGCUGAUGUAAUGAAAAGAAACAGAUUUCUGUGCCAGCUGUUUACAAGCUAAGCCACUUUUGAGUGUUUAUAAUGUUUAUCAGCAAAAUUUAAAAGACACAAACAAGUAUUUAACUGCAUAUGUACAGUAGGAUCAUGCAAAAAUAUAUUCUGGUAAUUUACUACCUUGUAAGUAAUACAUUUCAUUAUAUUAACUUUGUGCCCACUAAACAUAUUUCCCCUGUGCUAGCAGCCCUACAUUGGCUCCUGGUGCAGUCUAGGAUUGAUUUUAAGGCCCUGCUCUUAACCUAUAAAGCCCUGAAUGGUCUGGCCCUGUCAUACUUAAGGGAUCUUUUAGUCCCUUAUAUUCCUGGGCGGCCUCUACAAUCCCAGGAUGCUGAGCUGCUUACUGUCCCAAGGGCUUAAAAAAAAAAAAACACAGGUUGUAGGGCCCCUGAACUGUGGAACUCUCCCUGGCUCUAAGAGAGACUUUAACCCUGACACUAUGUACAAGCUGAUUCAGUGCUUUGUUAAACUUAAAACCUCUUUGGAACAAUGAGACCAGAUGACCAAUUAUAUGAACAGCAAUUGAAAUUUUUUGUGGCUCCAUUUAAAAUGCAUAAUUUGAGAAAAUGAAUUACACUUGCAUCCAACCUGCCGUUGCAUUUCAGUUGGAAACUCACAAUUGUGUUGGGAUCAAGAGUAUCAACUGGUUUUGGUAUAUUCGUAUAAUUUACAAAAAUAAUACAUCAGUCAUUUUGGCCUGUGUGAUGAAUUGCUUCAUGUUUAAAAGUUUAUUCAAGUACCCUAUCGCUUUUUUCCAGAUUUCAUUCUAAAACCUGGUUGAUGACAAUUCAAUAAAUAACACUCUCGUUAACACUGGCAUUAUGAUGUAAUUGCACCAGUGUACUCAAAUUAAACUGUGUCCCUAGAGGAUUAUUUAUUUAUUUAUUUAUUUAUUUAUUUAUUUAUUUAUUUUGGAUAUUGUACCAAGUCUGUUGCUUGCCACAAUAAGUUUCACACAGCUGUGUGCUUGAUCCAUCGUGACCUGCUUGCGACCCGAGUUGUGCUUUCACAUGCUAGUUUUCUGUCUUGAUGGACAGAUUUGCUGCCAUUGCAUUGAGGGCCCCUUGUGAAGUUCUGGACACCUUUCACGGUUCACAUGAUUGUUGCUGAAUAUUUGCACAGAACUCAAACACAGCUUAUAUUGUGACUCGUAUGAUGUGCCACAUGACAACAUAGAGUUGCAUACAUUAAAGGCAAAUUUCUCAUUUUACUUACUAGUGCGUUAUUCUGGUCAGUCAGUGUAUUAGAUAGACACGUUAGAGUUGUUAUGCUGUUCGACACAACACAUUACAGUUAUCAAACCAAAAAAAAAUGUAGCUUUCAAAUGAAAAUGGAAGCAGGAAUUGGAGGUGUUGAUGAAUCAAGGCAGGAAAAUGUCAUGCUGCUCAGGCUAAGCACACAUAUAAUGGGUCAUGAAUUCAAAGACAGGCUUAUGAUCCUGCUCCAAAGUGUGAAACUUUGAGAUCAGAUGUUUGAAGUACAAUGUAAAGGAAAUAUAUGGCGCAUUUUGUGUCCAUAGAUGAAAUGCAGCUUAUUGCAGAAAUGUGUGUGUGUGAGGCACUCGCUGUGAAGGGCUAGCGCAGUGUUCUUCACACGGUUCGACGGAGGUGGGAGAUCAAUCCACUAGCACCUUGCGAGCAGAAAAAAAAGGAGGAAGAAAAAUAUUUCACAAUAAUAGAUUUUUAAUGAAUUCAGUUUCCCUUCUAAUCAGACAGGAGUAUUGCAGUUGAAGGGGUGUGAUGAGAGUGGAGUACGGCAGCUCCACUCUGGUGAGAGUUCUCGCAGGCUUAUCGGGGCAGUGGAGCUUUUAAAACAUCAGUCAUUUUACACCAGCAUGACAGUGAUGAAUUGCUCCGAUCAGCCUUUGUGCUACAUAGCCCUUUGUUCAGUCCGGCUAGUAGGAUGCGGCUAUAGUGUGAAGCGGAUUAAGAGGAUAGAGGUUUGUUUUCAAGCCUGUUAAUUAUCUCCUGAUUGUUUAGGUUGGUUGAAUACAGUAGCUGAGGAAGCUAUGUAGGGAAUAGGGAAUCUUCAGCAGUAUCAAAUAAGUCUAGGGUUUGCUUUUUAACAUUGGACAAAAUAUUCAAAUGUUUUAUACAAAUAGCAGAUCAUUUGCAAAAGUUCACUUAAAAAAUACAUUCAUAAAUCUCCCAGAAUUUUUUUUUUUUUAAGUUUAUUGUUUUAAAUUUUAAUUUAUUUAUUUUAACCUUUUUAUGGUGCAUCUGUUAUUUUUAUGUUUGUAAUUUCCUGCAGUGCAUCGUUAAAAGAUUUGUUGUAUAUUGUAAUUUGCAAAAUUGCUACGAAUUAGCUGCAUUUAGCAUCUGCCACCAGCUAGCAGUAAAAAUAAGUUGUCUAUCUUUGCUCUGGUGAAUACAUGAUGGGUGAUCAUCAUUCCCCAAGGGGGAGACUCAUCCCCACCACUAAGAAUGACAACCCUUUAAGCCAGCAGUAUGGACAUCUGUACUGUAUAUUGUGCAUUGAACUCUUUGUGCUGGUAUUGAACUUGAGCAUUGAAGUGGAGAGGGUCAUGUGCAAAACAACCACGAACCAUGAGUCAUAACUGAGGCCUGUUUUUGCAAUAACGUUACAAAUUGUUCCCAUUCUUGCAAUACUGGUCACAAUUUGUCUUGAAGAAUGGUUCCAUUCUUGGGAUCCAAGUUACAGUACACUAUUUAAAAUUAAGCUAAAUUCAAGUAGCAUCCCUAAUUUUAAGACCAAUACAAAAUAUGCAAUUUUUUAUUUAUUUUUUUUUUUUUAUAAAUGAAUUUUCACUGUACUUUUUAUAUGUGGUAUUUUUCUGCAAGAUAAAUUUGAUACUACUAAAGAUUUUGUUUAAUUUAGAAUUGAUUAUUGUAAUGCACGUUUUUCAGGUAUCCCAAAAUGUAUGGUAUCCCGUUUGCAGCUUGAUCAGAAUACUGCCGCUAGAAUUCUGACUAAAACCAGGAAAAGUGAACAUAUUACCCCUGUUUUGGCCUCUUUACACUGGCUCCCUGUGCAGUAUAGAAUUGAUUUUAACAUGUUUCUGUUAACAUAAUAGCAUGGAUUAGCACCUAGUUAUUUGCAGGAGUUACUGACCCCGUAUCUUCCAAACCGCACUCUGAGAUCACAGGAUGCGGGGCUGCUGGUUAUUCCUAGAGUCAACAAAAGCAACACGGGAGGGAGGGCUUUUUCUUGUAGAGCUCCUAAAUUAUGGAAUGCUCUGCCUUUGUUUGUUAAGGAAGCUGGAACCGUUACAGUUUUCAAGUCUAAAAGACUAAAAAUGUACAUUUAUAAAAAGUUUUUGUGGGUUUUAAUGUAACUUUAAAAUUGCUGCUUUUGUAUUAUUAUUAUUAUUAUUAUUAUUAUUAUUAUUAUUAUUAUUAUUAUUAUUAUUCUGUGUAUACUGUUAUUUAAAUGGUCUGACUGUGGCAGUUGUAUGUGUGAUAUGCCAUGCAAAUGUAUUGUGGUUUGUUCUUUUUUUCUGCUAUGCACUAUACAGUGCUUUUGCGAUAUUUUUUUUCUAUAAAAAGCUUUAUAUAAAUGCAAUAAAUAAAAUACAACAAUAUUUUAUAUCUGUUUGUACAGAGUGGAAUUACAUGUGAUCCAAGUUCUUGCAAGCCCCACAUCACUGCGCAGUGGCACUCAAAUCCCAUGUAACCCCGCACACGCAUUAAAUGUAAAUGUAGCUGUAUUUGUUGCCUUUUUAAAAAGAUCAUCUACUUUUCUUCAUUUCUGCACUUGGCUGGUUUGUUCUUAAGGCUGUCAGAUCCAUCGGCAUUCUAAAACAAUUUAAAACCAAUCGUGUGAAUCCAGCUUUUUUAAAUACGCUCCUAGUGGGAUAACAAACAACAGACGACCUACUCAAGAGUAAUCGGGAAGGUGGGGUGAUUAUAUUUAAACUGGUCAGGACUGUCUAAGGCCAGUUUCAGACGGAUGCUCCAGAGGCGUGCCGAACUCGGUUGAAAUAAAGUAGGCAUUAAAGCCGCACUUCAUUAAAUUCGAUGAACCAAUCGGUUUCAUACUGGCGAACCGAAAGCGUAUUGCACUUAUUGCAAAGGUGUCUUAAACAAAAUCACAUAGGAGACAAAUGAUGACAUAUGGUUAUUAUAAAGAAAAACUGUUAUCUGAGAACAGUAGGCCUACACUGCGCAUUGCGAUCGUGUCAAACAAAUACAAUACAA